rnacentral:rRNA from 1 species
AUUGAACGCUGGCGGCAGGCCUAACACAUGCAAGUCGAACGAGUGGCGGACGGGUGAGUAAUGUCUGGGAAACUGCCCGAUGGAGGGGGAUAACUACUGGAAACGGUAGCUAAUACCGCAUACCAUCGGAUGUGCCCAGAUGGGAUUAGCUAGUAGGUGGGGUAACGGCUCACCUAGGCGACGAUCCCUAGCUGGUCUGAGAGGAUGACCAGCCGCACUGGAGCUGAGAAACGUUCCAGACUCCUACGGGACGCAGCAGUGGGGAAUAUUGCACAAUUGGCGCAAGCCUGAUGCAGCCAUGCCGCGUGUAUGAAGGAGGCCGUCGGGUUGUAAAGUACUUUCAGCGAGGAGGCGUUACUCGCAGAAGAAGCACCGGCUAACUCCGUGCCAGCAGCCGCGUGAAUU